ensembl:lncRNA
CCCUGGCUGGGCCUGGGCCACCUGACCGCUCCUGGUGGUGGGAGUGGGAUCUCAGUGGACAAAAUGUGGAGGAGGAGACAGUUCAUUCCACAAACGUUUACUGAGCAUCUACUGUGUGCCUGGCCCUGUCCUAGGUGCUGAGGACACAGAGGUGAACCAGACAGAAAGCACCCUGCUCUCAGGCAGCCGGCACUCUAGGAGCCAUUCUAAUAAAUGUGAGAUGGUGUCUCAUUGUGCUCCUGAUUCGAAUUUCCCUGAAGAUCAGGGAUGUCAAUCGAGUAUCUUUUCACGCGCUUGUGGGCCAUCGUCUGGGGAUCUCACGACUCUGUUCUGAAGGAGGCUCAGGCCGUGGGCGCCAGCCUCCUUGCCCGUGGCGGGGCCACCGAGGGCCCCAGGGCUGGCUGCUCAAGCCAGGCAGGAGCUGGUGCCCGAGGCAGGUGUGGCGGCGCUGUAUCCCACGUCCACAAAGGGGUCGCCACUGAGCUUCUCACUCGGCACUGAGACACACGCCAGGGGCCCAGGGAAACCCCGGUGAUGCCCUCAUCCCAGAUACAGGCGCCAACGGGAGACGCUGUCAGAGGAGCCCUUCCUCGGAGCACCCGGGAGGACGGCGCUGGCUGCCAUCGCCUGGUCCCUGGCUUUUCGAGUCCCAGCCGGCGCUGGCGGGGUGAUGCCACUGUGCCCCACACUCUUCCUUCAAUCAGCUUGCUUUUCCUUUUUAAAAUUCAUAAGCGAGGGGCCAGCCCGGUGGCGCAGUGGCCAUCAUUGAGCGCCAGCUGUGUCCCAGGCACUGUUGAAGGCAAGGGCCACUGGAGGGGGCAGACGACGGUGAGGACGCUGCACACUGACUGCACGGGGCUCAGUGCUUUGGAAAGAAGAAACGGCACAGCAGGUUGUCCCGUUCCUUCCUCACCUUGUUUGGUGAGGCCCUCCCCAGACAGAAGAACUGCGUCCGGGGAGAGUAGACUGGCUCCCAGGCCCAAGGCAUCCUGGGAAGGAGGAAGGAGAAGAACCCAUGAGGCCGAGGGCGGCUGUGCCUCCGCCUCCCCUCCCCCAGGCUGGAACCCCCACCCCAGCUGCUCCGGGCACCAGCUCCCAGCCUGCGGGGCUGUGGGGAGAGGACCGCCAGCCUGGGGUUUCCAGCUUUCUGGGAAAAAAGUCAACAUCCACUAUGGAUCUGGUCUGGCCCCCUCCCGUGUCCACUGUCCUCCCCCAGGUCCCCCGACCCUGGUAGGACCCCUCCCCACCCAUGUCCAGGGCGGAGGGAGGGUCACAGUGGGCGGGCAGGGGUUAAUUCCUGGAGCCGGCGUGCUCCUCCCACCUCUGGACGAUCUGUCUCUGUCCUCAGCCAUUGGUGACCUUUUUUUUCCAUGACCACAAUCUUCCCCCUUUGAACUAUUAUGUGCUAAAUAUAUAUUUUUUUUAAUUUUCUACACUUGUGCAGCCUUGAAUCCAUUCAUUUAAAAGGAAAAGUUUAUAUUAAUGUCCUAAUGGGAAAACCCUGCUCGUUGCCCCAAACAGCCUGUGAAUUUCAAAAGAAAAAGUAACACAAGGAAGGUGAAACUGUGGAUUUUAGCUGGAUAAACCCGGGGCCACCAAAUGCUAAACGCCUUAGCUCCCUGGAGAGCCUUUCUCCGGGCCCUGGGGACAGGCUGCCUGCCUGCGGAUCUCCUCUUUGCCACUUGGUCGCUGUGCCUCAGUUUCC